rnacentral:rRNA from 1 species
UACGUAGGGUGCGAGCGUUGUCCGGAAUUAUUGGGCGUAAAGAGCUCGUAGGCGGUUUGUUGCGUCGGCUGUGAAAUCCCGAGGCUCAACCUCGGGUCUGCAGUCGAUACGAGCAAACUAGAGUGUUGCAGGGGAGACUGGAAUUCCUGGUGUAGCGGUGAAAUGCGCAGAUAUCAGGAGGAACACCGGUGGCGAAGGCGGGUCUCUGGGCAACAACUGACGCUGGAGGAGCGAAGGCGUGGGGAGCGAACAGG